UCCCUUCCUCACAAAAACUACUAUGCAUCUAACCACAAAACCAACAAGGAGGAUAUGAUGGAGCUGACUGAGCCCCACUAGCAUAUGACUGGGCUCCUGGUUCUCUAAACCUACCAUCAUACUGGGAACAAUAGACAUUUGAUGUCUUUGGAAAAGGAUCACUAGACAUAGAGUAGGAAUAAAAAUUGGCCCACUUUUUCUAAGACCACUUCCCACUAUCUCUACCACUUUGCUGCUAGC
rnacentral:lncRNA from 1 species